CGAUCGAUGGUGGGAUCAAGCAUCUACUUUGGCACCGGCGUCCAAGUAAGGAUUUUAAGUUUUUUCUAGUAGGAUUUGGGGUCGAUCCACGGCUUUUCAUCUCUUUGUCUGAACAAAAAAAUCGAUUUGGGCACUGUUAGUAUUCAACUUCUUCCUCAGGGAGCAUCCGCAUUGGUGAUACAUUUUCCCUUGUCAAGGUCUUCGUGACAUUCGCCUCAGUCCCAGACACACCCCUUAUUUUUCCGACCAUUUAUGGGGCAACUACCGUUCGCGACGUUGUCGGUGAAGAUCCUAUUGAUUGGAACUACAAGGAUCUCAUGCGGCACCCCUGAAGCAUAUCAACCGAUUCCUUAAUGUUUUACCCCCGUUUGCCUUAUGGAUUGGAUGCCGACGGCUAUGUGAAAUACCUAUGGAAUAGAUGCAUAGACAUUUGGAAUUAUAUUUUGUGUGGUGAGAAUUGUGCUAUGGAUUGAUGGAUUUCCCCACUUGCUUAUUACUAGGUUGGAUGUUUAAAAUGCUUGCGUUUUGUGGAACAUAAUUCCGUAGUGAAGAUGUUGCUAGGCUUGUUUGAUGGGUUACUUUAUUUUGUUGUUUGGUGGUGGAC